rnacentral:rRNA from 1 species
UACAGAGGUCCCAAGCGUUGUUCGGAUUCACUGGGCGUAAAGGGUGCGUAGGCGGUCGGGUAAGUCUGAUGUGAAAUCUCACAGCUUAACUGUGAAACUGCAUUGGAUACUAUCCGGCUAGAGGAAUGGAGGGGAGACUGGAAUACUUGGUGUAGCAGUGAAAUGCGUAGAUAUCAAGUGGAACACCAAUGGCGAAGGCAGCUCGCUGGGACGGUACUGACGCUGAGACGCGAAAGCGUGGGGAGCAAACAGG